GCCUCCUUCAGGGACAUCGGGCUGAGGGCUCUAUAAAAGCCCAGGCAGGUGCGAGGUGAGCACACUCCAGCGCCCGCGCAGCCGCCCUGCCUCCUGCCCUCCUGGCCAGCACCAUGCUCAGCAAGGCCGUGAUCUUCGCUGCCCUGUGUGCCCUGGCUGUGACUCUUCCCUCAGCACCUCCUGAAAUAACCGGUGAGGCAGUGGAAUCAAAUGCGGACGCGGACUCAACCACACAGCAGGCCAGGAAUGCCCGCCCAUUCCCUGACGGGGACGUAGCCUUGGGGGAAGGAGUCACCGUGGCCGCAGGUAAGGAUUCCUGCCUUCAGACAUGCGGACAUUUCUCCCUGCCUCCCUUUCCUUGCUUACAUCUCAUUGCUUAGGAACGUCCUGUGGUGAUUUAUACAUUCAGGGAUACUUUGGCUGCCUUGUUCUUUGAGGUGGAGUAAACUUUUGCCAAAAGUUCUUUGAAACUUGAGGUAGAUUUAAGAAUUUUCCCAGAGCAUUUUCAAGAAUGAAAUCUGAAUACUCACAUGGCUCCAGCAUGAGGUCUGCCCCGACCUGGGUUCCGGGACCAACCUCUGGGCUUCUCUAAAGAGGACAAGUUCCUUGGUGUCUCCACGGGGUUGCGGGAUGUGAUGACAAGAAUGGGGUGAAUAACUUCCUUUUCUUUUUCAGCUGAGGACAGUACCAUUCUGGCACGGAGCUUCAGGAGAGCAGAUUUGGGUAAGUGUAAAAUGUAAAGUGAAUUUAGACUGAACAGGAGAAAAAGGAUUUAAAAGCUUCAUGGACUGAGUAGUGGUUUUCUCUCUGCCCACUGCCUAUGUCAAGCGUCCAAGUUGUUUUUUGUUUUUCUGUCUAUCAACUAAGGAGUCUACAGAUUUCAGUGCUUUCUUCUCUCAUAAACAAACCUCAAUAGUUUGAGGAAAGCCACAGAUUUUGCUGAAAUUAAGCCUUGAAUCUUGUCUACAAAAGUAAAUUUCUGAUCAUGUCUAUAAAUAAUGACAAUAUUCCAGCAUUACUCUUAAGUGUAUUGGAGAAUUGUGGUAGUAGUCGGAUAAACCUAGACAUUGUAUUUUACUGGAGGUUUAAAGGGCCUAUUCGGAUAGGAAUAGCUGGUGAGCCUGAAUUCUUGCUCCGCCUCUAGUUGUCUGCUUUGCAGGGUACACCUCCCCUGCAGAAUGGUGCUCGCCCUCAGAAUUUGUAGUGUUGCAGCUUCCCAGCCUGCAGUAAAAGGUCAACGUUAGCUAUGCCCAUCCUUCCUUUACACCCCAUGGGGUGUCAGGAAAAUCCUCAUGUUUGACUGAAGAGCAAGAGGCAGCCUUGUGGUCCAGACCCCUCUGUCAUUUCUGCUAGAGGACAGGCCCCACCUCUUUCCACGCCUGCCUUUCGAGAGCAGGUUUCCGACUGUGGCAAUGACCGACACACUGAGAGUCUCCGGUUUGUAAUAGGAAGCAUGAUUUCCCUGGUGCAUUUGCCUUUUAAAUUAAGAGAUUUAUUCUCUCAUUUCUUGGAGCUGUCACUGGUGGUAACUCUGAAGGGGCCCUGAGUGGAGCAACAGGUAAGGCCACAAAUUUCGAAUUUUGUAUUUAUUCUGGUCAUUGAGUGAUUGUUCUUGGGAGGGAAUCCAGGACAGACUGAAGAAGUGGUCUCUGGUACUCUGUCCCCAUUUGUAGCCUUCUCACCUGGCA
rnacentral:lncRNA from 1 species